rnacentral:rRNA from 1 species
AUGAACGCUGGCGGCGUGCCUAAUACAUGCAAGUCGAGCGAACGGAUGAGAAGCUUGCUUCUCUGAUGUUAGCGGCGGACGGGUGAGUAACACGUGGAUAACCUACCUAUAAGACUGGGAUAACUUCGGGAAACCGGAGCUAAUACCGGAUAAUAUUUUGAACCGCAUGGUUCAAAAGUGAAAGAUGGUCUUGCUGUCACUUAUAGAUGGAUCCGCGCUGCAUUAGCUAGUUGGUAAGGUAACGGCUUACCAAGGCAACGAUGCAUAGCCGACCUGAGAGGGUGAUCGGCCACACUGGAACUGAGACACGGUCCAGACUCCUACGGGAGGCAGCAGUAGGGAAUCUUCCGCAAUGGGCGAAAGCCUGACGGAGCAACGCCGCGUGAGUGAUGAAGGUCUUCGGAUCGUAAAACUCUGUUAUUAGGGAAGAACAUAUGUGUAAGUAACUGUGCACAUCUUGACGGUACCUAAUCAGAAAGCCACGGCUAACUACGUG